AUUGAACGCUGGCGGCAUGCCUUACACACGCAAGUCGAACGGCAGCACGGGGCAACCUGGUGGCGAGUGGCGAACGGGUGAGUAAUGCAUCGGAACGUACCUUUCAGUGGGGGAUAACGUAGCGAAAGUUACGCUAAUACCGCAUAUUCUGUGAGCAGGAAAGCAGGGGAUCGCAAGACCUUGCGCUGAUUGAGCGGCCGAUGUCAGAUUAGCUAGUUGGUGAGGUAAAGGCUCACCAAGGCGACGAUCUGUAGCGGGUCUGAGAGGAUGAUCCGCCACACUGGAACUGGGACGCGGUCCAGACUCCUACGGGAGGCAGCAGUGGGGAAUUUUGGACAAUGGGGGCAACCCUGAUCCAGCCAUGCCGCGUGAGUGAAGAUGGCCUUCGGGUUGUAAAGCUCUUUCGGCCGGGAAGAAAUCGUAUCAGCUAAUACCUGGUGCGGAUGACGGUACCGGCAUAAGAAGCACCGGCUAACUACGUGCCAGCAGCCGCGGUAACAC
rnacentral:rRNA from 1 species